GAGCACUCGCUGUCCUGAGGAAGGAACACACAUUUGACUAGACCUUAUCUUCUGUAAAGAUGUGCUGCACAUCAAUUCAUCUCCUCAUUGGUGCCUUACUUGUCUUUGCUAUUGAAAAUGUGGCCACAGCCAGGGAAAACAGCACAGAAAAUAACACAGCUCCAGUUUCAGUGCCUUCAUACACCACCACCCAAUUCAAAGAAACAGACUUUACCAUUCCAAACGUCACUGUUACCCUGCCAAACAAGACGGCUGUGAAUACCACAUCAGCAUCAGAACUGCCUACUCCACCUCCCCCAGAACGUCCGCAGACCAACAAUUUCACCACAGGCGAUUCUCUGAAGACCAUUGCACAAUCAAGCACAAUUAAUAUGAUCAAAAGCACAACUAUUAGCAAAGCAACUAUAACUACAGCAGUAAAAACUACAGUUUCGACAACAACGCAAUCGGGGACAAAAACUUUUAUAGUUAUCUUUAUUAUUGCCAUUCUGUGCCUUGCUGGGGUAUUAGUUUAUUGUUGCCUUAAAAAGAAAUCUAGGAAGUACUCUGUGGACUUACAUCCCAAACACGAAGAUGCUCAGAUCCCACUCAGCACAGUGGAUGCAGAGGUGUUUGACACCACAUCAGUCAAAGAAUCAGCUGAUGUUAAACAAGAAAACCAACAGAAUUUAUCCAGCACUCAGGCCACAGAGAACCCAAAGGAUAAAAUGGAGGGGCUGACCGUAGUGGAUCUGACUGAUGGAGAACCGACGAUCUCCACCAAAACCUCAAUGGAAUCCCUAGAUGAUGUUCUCAAUGAAAACAACAGCAACAAUACAAGAGUCAAGGGCAAUGGGCAUGAUUUCACUGAAAUCUCUAUUGAUGCUUUACUUCUAAAAUAAAUCAGGUUCUUCCCAGCAUUUUACAAUGAUCUCUGAACCUGACUGAUGGAUUGUACUGGAACUGGAAGUAACAGCUGAACUAAAUUCAUUGUUAGAACAACCUUGUUUGAAUAUACAUACAGCACUAAGAAAAGUCUGUAAAAACAGGGCCCAAUGUAUUGUGUUAAUGUAAAGGAAUUUUCUGUAUACAUUUUCACUAGUCUUUUACUCAUAUUUUUAAAUGCAUUGUGUUGUUUUAUGGUUAAAAGGAAAUAUACAUAAACUUAAUGGAGUGCAACUUAAUGGAGAAACUUCUGCAGAUUUUUGUUCCUACAUUGUAUUUCAAUUAGCAUACUAUUACCUGUUAUGUUAGAUUUUAAUAUUGUAACUUGUUAAUUAUAAUUUUGUAAAUGUUCAACCAGCUUUUUAUUGUUGUUGGCUGUAUAUGUAAAUGAACAAUGCGUACUUUUUCCAUGUUAUUGCACCCAGAUAUCACAAUUUAUUUUCCAAGCAAAAGGAUGCUUGGAAAAUAACUGAAUAAUGCAAAACAUGUCCCUUUUGACAGCUCCAGGCAUUUUAAUAAAAUUACAGAUUGAUUCUUUGUUUCUUGUAUU
ensembl:lncRNA